CGGCCGCGGGUAAUUCCAGCUCCAAUAGCGUAUAUUAAAAUUGUUGCAGUUAAAAAGCUCGUAGUUGAAUUUCUGCUGCAUUGCUUGUGUCCCUCUGGGGUCUGUGCAUGUGGCUUUUUUCGGACGGAGUUUCUUUGUCUGAAUGUUUACUUUGAGAAAAUUAGAGUGCUCAAAGCAGGCUUUCGCCUUGAAUAGUUUAGCAUGGAAUAAUAAAGUAGGACUUUGGUUCUAUUUUGUUGGUUUUAGGUACCAAAGUAAUGGUUAAUAGGAACAGUUGGGGGCAUUCGUAUUUAACUGUCAGAGGUGAAAUUCUUAGAUUUGUUAAAGACGAACUACUGCGAAAGCAUUUGCCAAGGAUGUUUUCAUUAAUCAAGAACGAAAGUUAGGGGAUCGAAGACGAUCAGAUACCGUCGUAGUCCUAACCAAUAAACUAAAAA
rnacentral:rRNA from 1 species